GAGACAAGAUGUUAGACAAAAGGAAGAAAUAAAAGGAAAGGAUAUUAACUUAUUACAACUAACAGAGGUUAUUUCUUAUAUUAUACUUGAAGAAGCUGAAUAUAGACUAAGAGAUGCUAUCUGUAGCAAAGAGAAGGAAACAAUUAAAUUGAAACUAGAAAUUCCAGUGAUAACAUCCUUAAUGGUAUCUGAGGUUAGUUGCACUUGAUACCAUUUAUGUAAAAUUUUCAAAGACUGUAACAAAUUCGUUAAAAAAUUUAUUUUGCAGAUUUAAUUUUUAUGAAUUUACACUUUCCAUCUCUUGUACUCUACCAUAGGGCGCCUUUU